AGUUUGUGUCACAUCCUUGGUCUCCAAAGAAACCAAAACCUCUUCUUCUUAGCAACCUUUUGAUUUUGAUAUCAAAUUUCUCUUUUUCCUUUAAAAUUAUUCAAGCUCAAACCCUAAUAAUGAUUUCAUUUUCGUUUUGUUCUUCCAUAAAUCCCCAAUCGCAGUUCCGCAAUCGGCCGUUCUAUUUCUCUGUUCAGCUGCUCCCUAAUCCCGCUUGGAAAUCUGCAGUUCCGCAAUCGGCAUUUCAAGCUUUGUGAUGCAGCUUCGGUGAAGGUUAAUCACUACGGCAAGUGGAGUGAUUCGGGCUGGUGUUGGACCGAUUUCUCAGCGAUAUGAGAUGUUAUUCGUGCAGUGGACAGUCCUGGGGCUGAGCUGGACGUUGUACUGGCAUAGAUUCAACAGAUUCCAGGGCAGAAGGAUGCUUUUAUUUGGUGGCGUCAUUGUGCUGGAUUUUUUGUUAAAGGCACCUACGGUAAGCUGAAGGAGCUGGUCGAGACGUGUCUAUUUUUGCAGUCUGUUUUGAAUUUGGAUUUGGGUCGUCUAUGGAAGACAAAGGUCCCUAGUAAAAUCUUAAUUUUUCGGGUGGAGAUUGUUCUUGAAUAGGCUCUUGAAUAAGAGUGUUGGAAAAUCUUUAGUGUUGGAGAGUAUUGUUGGAAAGGAUUUUUUUACCCCCUGGAUCUAGUAAUUUAGUAUGUGCGUGUAUCAUGUAUAAUACAGCUUCACAAGGUUGAUAAAGGGAGACAAUAUGCUGAAUUUAUGCAUGCUCCAAGGAAGAGAUUUACUGAUUUUGGUAUUCUCUUGCGGAAAGGAUAACCUUUCACUUUCUUAUGGUUUUACUUGCACUACACUUAAUAACACCUAUCAGGAAGGUAGAUAUUCGGUAAAUCAUCGAUGCUUGCUCUAAGACAUUCGGAUUUGGAUUCACCGUUGCUUACAGGUCGUUUUUUAUGUGUUAGUCCGUGUGAGUAAACAAAUUGGUACUAUAGAAGGUAAUUUCUAGAAUUUGUUCCUUUUUGUGAUGCAAUUUUAAUUUCAAUUCCCUUUUUAUCAAACGGUUUGUUUCUCUUGAAAUUUAAUUUAUGUGACUAUGAUAUUGACACUUGUGUUCUCUCAUUAAUUGAUUAUGUUUCUCAUUCGUUUGCAUCUGCUUAAUGGAUAAAGGUAAGGCAUAUGAAUGAGGUUUUAACUGUUAAGAAUAUGUAGUAAGUACCAACUUUAGAAUUCUUGAAAACUUUUGUUUCAAGUGUUUCUGUUCUAGCCACUGUUUGUGUAACAUGUGAUUUUUUUAGGACCUAGUUGAGUGAAGAAAAUUUAUAAUACACUUGAUAAUGUGAGAUAUUCAUAUAUAUCUUAUCUCUUUUUAGAUGAUAAAUAAGUCAAUGAAUACUAAAUCUAAUGGCUUAAAUAUGUUGACAUCUUUUGUUGUUUUGUUUUUUAUCUCUAGGUUUGCGGUUUGUAAUAUUGCCAUGCGGUCGAGUUUGUAGUAUUUGGCGGAUGAACUUCGUCUAGAGAAUGAUGGUCGAGUUUGUAGGAUUUGGCAUAUUAUGUUUACCGUAAUAAUAGAGGACAAAGGAUCGCAGCCUUUAUUCGAUAAUCAUAUGAAGGCACUCAAAAACAUUUGGACAGCAGGGAUACCAUCCAAGAUGACGGAGAAUGAUUUUGAAUUGACUGCCCACCCAAGGGACAACACCUGUUUUAUGGGUGUCAAUCAGCAGCCUUAGCUUUGGAGCAGGUUUAUAUGUGGGUAGGUUGUGAACACAUCAGAUACGCAAAUGGCUUAGAUCACACGCUUCAAUUCUGUGAAUUGUUUGAAGGGAAAGGAAAUAAGAAGGUUACGGGACUGAUUUGGCUAAUGAGCAAUGACGCCAUGUUUAGAAAUAUGAAUUUUGAUAUCACAAGAUUGCUAAACAAUAUCAAAGCACUAUCAUGGAGCUGGUUCCUUCACAAAGUGAAUAGGUCAGCAAAGACCUGCUAUGAAAGUUGGAUGAGGCGGCCACUCACUAACGACCACUUCCAAUACAUUUUGAUAGAUUUGAAAGAUAUAUUUGAGAUUGUAUAGAUGAGACACGUAAAAUUUAGUUUUCUGGUGGACGAAGCUGUAGCGGGGAAAAUCUGAUAUCAAAGCCAUAGGAUGACUCGAAUCAAUAUUUCGUUUGAAAUCGCCACCGCGCUUUAUUUUUUCAAAGGAAAAGGGAAAAGAACGUAAAACCCAAAGUUUUGUUUUUAAAACAAGAGAGAGAACUCAGGUUCGGGUGUUGAUUAUAUGAGGGGAAGGUUUUAAGCACCCCUCAUAUCUGUGGUACUCCACAGGAACCUUUUUGAAAAUCUGUGUGUGUGUGCUAAAAAAGGGGUUGUUUUAUUUUUAAAAUAAGCUCGGCAAAGCGUUUAGCUUUGGGCCUACAUACCUCCUCGGUGCAAUGGAGAAGUCAGAGCUAAUGUAGUUCCGCUUUUGGGAAAACGUUUUUUUAAAAACGAAUAAACACUUUAUCGUCGUCGGAGAGAAAUACUCAGCCAUUGAUCUUGAGCAUGAGAACAAACGAGUUCUUUGCAUCGCAAAUGAAAGAAGGGCUCCAACUCGGAUAAAAUCAACGAGUAUGCCACUAGCUCUCUCACGCGGAAAAGAUAUCAUUUUAUCAAUCAAUUUCAAAAUCGUGGGGUAUAACCACUCGUUUCGACAAUUAACGGUGUCUAAACUUUUGAAGAAAAGCCACUAAGGGCAAAAGAUAUUUUAAAGAAAAAAGUUUUGAAAAGAUUGCAAACAUAAG